rnacentral:snoRNA from 1 species
CGAGAGGUGAAGAUUGGGCUAGGUCUCGCGAACUGAUGCUUGAGGGCCUUGUUCUCCCAACCAAUAUGUUACGACUUACGGAACAGCCUUGAAACGAUCUGAUCUC